rnacentral:rRNA from 1 species
ACCCAGGGAACUGAAACAUCUAAGUACCUGGAGGAAAAGAAAUCAACCGAGAUUCCCUUAGUAGCGGCGAGCGAAAGGGGACCAGCCCUAAACCUCUUUUAUAUUUAAUUGAACACUCUGGAAAGUGUGGCCAUAGUGGGUGAUAGCCCCUUAAAUGAAAAAUAUAUUAGAGUUAUUCGAGUAGGACGGGACACGAGAAAUCUUGUCUGAAUAUGGGGGGACCAUCCUCCAAGGCUAAAUACUCUCUACUGACCGAUAGUGAACUAGUACCGUGAGGGAAAGGCGAAAAGAACCCCGGUGAGGGGAGUGAAAUAGAACCUGAAGUUAUGUGCAUACAAGCAGUCGGAGCCCCCUUCGGGGGGUGACGGCGUACCUUUUGUAUAAUGGGUCAGCGACUUACUUUCAAUGGCAAGCUUAACCUUUUUAGGGGAGGCGUAGGGAAACCGAGUCUUAACUGGGCGACAUAGUCUUUGGGAGUAGACCCGAAACCGGGCGAUCUAUCCAUGGCCAGGGUGAAGGUUGGGUAACACUAACUGGAGGCCCGAACACACCUAUGUUGAAAAAUGGGGUGAUGAGCUGUGGAUAGGAGUGAAAGGCUAAUCAAGCUCGGAGAUAGCUGGUUCUCCUCGAAAUCUAUUUAGGUAGAGCCUCAUGUAUCACUGUUGGGGGUAGAGCACUGUUAUGGCUAGGG